rnacentral:rRNA from 1 species
ACGCUGGCGGCAGGCCUAACACAUGCAAGUCGAGCGGUAGAGAGAAGCUUGCUUCUCUUGAGAGCGGCGGACGGGUGAGUAAUGCCUAGGAAUCUGCCUGGUAGUGGGGGAUAACGUUCGGAAACGGACGCUAAUACCGCAUACGUCCUACGGGAGAAAGCAGGGGACCUUCGGGCCUUGCGCUAUCAGAUGAGCCUAGGUCGGAUUAGCUAGUUGGUGGGGUAAUGGCUCACCAAGGCGACGAUCCGUAACUGGUCUGAGAGGAUGAUCAGUCACACUGGAACUGAGACACGGUCCAGACUCCUACGGGAGGCAGCAGUGGGGAAUAUUGGACAAUGGGCGAAAGCCUGAUCCAGCCAUGCCGCGUGUGUGAAGAAGGUCUUCGGAUUGUAAAGCACUUUAAGUUGGGAGGAAGGGCAGUUGCCUAAUACGUAACUGUUUUGACGUUACCGACAGAAUAAGCACCGGCUAACUCUGUGCCAGCAGCCGCGGUAAUACAGAGGGUGCAAGCGUUAAUCGGAAUUACUGGGCGUAAGGCGCGCGUAGGUGGUUUGUUAAGUUGGAUGUGAAAUCCCCGGGCUCAACCUGGGAACUGCAUUCAAAACUGACUGACUAGAGUAUGGUAGAGGGUGGUGGAAUUUCCUGUGUAGCGGUGAAAUGCGUAGAUAUAGGAAGGAACACCAGUGGCGAAGGCGACCACCUGGACUGAUACUGACACUGAGGUGCGAAAGCGUGGGGAGCAAAC